rnacentral:rRNA from 1 species
AUGGUGAUUCAGAAAGUGGGAAAAUCUGCAUACAAACUACAGCUGCCAAGUACAGUGCAAAUACAUCCUGUUUUUCAUGUUAGUUAGUUAAAACGGCAUGUGGGUGACAAAUCAAUCACUGGUCCCAAUCUACCCAUGGUAAAAUCUGAUGGUACGGUAAAGGUAGGACCAGAAGAAGUUCUGUAGGUUCGCCAAGUUCCUCCAUAGAAUGCACCAGUAGUUCGGUGGUUAAUCAAGUGGAUCAACCUGCCCGCGGAAGAUGUGACUUGGGAAGAUGCGGAUUUCAUCAAGUACACAUUCCCGGAGUUCUUCAGUACAACUACGCGCGCGUGGAGAGAAGCGGCAGCAGUGUCGUGA